GGGGCUGUGGCUCAGCGGUAGAUCCCUCACCUAGCAUGGGCGAGGCCCUGGGUUCGAUCCUCAGCACCACA
rnacentral:tRNA from 1 species